rnacentral:piRNA from 1 species
UCAACACCUUGAGCUCAGACUUCAGC